rnacentral:rRNA from 1 species
CCUACGGGUGACAGCAGUGAGGAAUAUUGGUCAAUGGGCGAGAGCCUGAACCAGCCAAGUCGCGUGAAGGAUGACGGCCCUACGGGUUGUAAACUUCUUUUGUCAGGGAGCAAUUGAGUCCACGUGUGCGCUUAGCGAGAGAACCUGAAGAAAAAGCAUCGGCUAAGUCCGUGCAAGCAGCCGCGGUAAUACGGAGGUUGCGAGCGUUAUCCGGUUUUAUUGGGUUGAAGGGGUGCGUAGGCGGGUAUUUAGGCCGGCGGUCAAAUGUCGGGUCUCAACCCCGUCCUGCCGUCGGAACUGGGUGCCUUGAGUGGGCGAGAAGUAUGCGGAAUGCGUGGUGUAGCGGUGAAAUGCAUAGAUAUCACGCAGAACCCCGAUUGCGAAGGCAGCAUACCGGCGCCCUACUGACGCUGAGGCACGAAAGUGCGGGUAUCGAACAGGAUUAGAUACCCUCGUAGUC